AUUCUGACUUCCUUAAAACGAUGAACAGUCCUUGAAAUGGUCUAUAACGUUUAUCGUGAUAUUUUUGAAGGAAAUCCAUACUUUAGAAAUUGGUGAACCAAGAAAAUAUCAGGACAAGCUGCUGGACAACCAAAACCUUGUUAAAUCAGUAUUCAGAAACUUGGAGAAAGUGGUGUGUAAAUGUGCUCCUGGUUACACGCAAACAGGUGGCAGUCCAACAUCGUUCUGUGUUAAUGGACAGUGGACACCCUUGAACAUGCAAUUUGAACGUUCUCCACCUGCUGCUGACAUCUCAAUCUAACCCAUCCUCAGUAAAAUGUCCAGUCACUGACAUGCCCAAUGGUAUGGUAGUCAAUGCUAAGGGUUCUCCAUGUGAGGCUUUAACACUGGUGUCCAGAUCACCUGC